CAGAAAAUAGUUUUAUAAAAUAAUAAUUUUGGAGAUUAUAGAUGAUUUGAAAGAUCUUUUCUGA
rnacentral:tRNA from 1 species